rnacentral:rRNA from 1 species
UAGGGAAUCUUCGGCAAUGGACGGAAGUCUGACCGAGCAACGCCGCGUGAGUGAAGAAGGUUUUCGGAUCGUAAAGCUCUGUUGUAAGAGAAGAACGAGUGUGAGAGUGGAAAGUCCACACUGUGACGGUAUCUUACCAGAAAGGGACGGCUAACUACGUGCCAGCAGCCGCGGUAAUACGUAGGUCCCGAGCGUUGUCCGGAUUUAUUGGGCGUAAAGCGAGCGCAGGCGGUUAGAUAAGUCUGAAGUUAAAGGCUGUGGCUUAACCAUAGUACGCGUUGNCAACUGUUUAACUUGAGUGCAAGAGGGGAGAGUGGAAUUCCAUGUGUAGCGGUGAAAUGCGUAGAUAUAUGGAGGAACACCGGUGGCGAAAGCGGCUCUCUGGCUUGUAACUGACGCUGAGGCUCGAAAGCGUGGGGAGCAAACAGGAUUAGAUACCCUGGUAGUCCACGCCGUAACGAUGAGUGCUAGGUGUUAGACCCUUUCCGGGGUUUAGUGCCGCAGCUAACGCAUUAAGCACUCCGCCUGGGGAGUACGACCGCAAGGUU